rnacentral:rRNA from 1 species
CACCGCGGUUAUACGAAAGGCCCAAGUUGAAAAACAUUCGGCGUAAAGGGUGGCUAAGGACCUACUCCAAACUAGAGCUGAAUUUCUUCAAAGCUGUUAUACGCUCAUGAAAACUAGAAAAUCAACCACGAAAGUGGCUCUAAUCACGCCUGACACCACGAAAGCUAUGACA